UCUGUGUUAUUUGUACUGUAAGAAAAAUAAAGUUUUUUAACCUAAAACAAAAUAUCACCCCUGUAGAAACAGCAAGAGCAAUGCUGUUGAAAAGCAUAUCUGUUGUAGCAUUUGUACUCAGUAGCUGCUGGUUUUCUUCUUUUGCUUCAGGAUAUCAAGACGAGAUGUUGUGAUCAUACAUGUACAUUUACUGGUGGUGCAGAAACCAGGGGCUUCUGUCUUUUUUUUUAGUACUUCCUGUUGUGUCCUCUGCCUUUUCUAUGACUGGAGAUGUUAGGUGGAAUUACAUGAAGGCUUGUAAGAUGUGAUGCAGGUACCUAUGUCCCUUGGCACAACAGUGCAGCCUUCUGUCUCUUUCCCUCUGCCACUCCAAGGACUGCAUUUACCCCGGUCAUUGGCACAGACUGACUGUCAGCAUGAAGUGAGAAUGAUCCCAUUGGCUUUCACAGCCUGUCUGUAUCCCAAAUGCACAUUUUCUCGUCCACCACCACCACCAUGCAGCAUAUGCCCUUUUUCUUCCUCAAUAUUUCUUGAUGUGGUAACCCCCAAAAGGGCCCCCGUGCCAAAUACUGCAGCUGUUUGGAAUGAUCUUUUGGACACAUGGGAAACCCGAGAGUGUCAAGGACUGGUUUUAAACUUGGCAAACUAAUCAAAGACGUAUCUGCAAAUGCCCCAGACCUGUACUUUGUCCCAUGGGCCUUAAAAAUAAGUACCUAAAUCACAAUGAAGUACACAUGAAAAUCU